CUGCUCAAUGAUUUUUUAAAUUGCUGUGGUAUUUUGACUAUACGAAGGUAUUGAAAUAAGACUUUAAAUGAGUGCUAAGAGAAUGAUAGAACAAUUUAUUUCUGUCUUUUAAAUAAAAAAAUAGAAGUUAACUUUUUUGUGCAAAGGCAAAAAUUUAUGUAAGGGACAAGAAGACCCUAUGAAUUUUGAUUUAUUUUAUAUAAUGUUUUAUAAUAAAAUGAAUUUAAUUGGGGCGAUUGAAAAAGAAUGAAGAUCUUUUUUUUUGAGAAUUUGAUCCAUUAUUAAUGAUUUAAUGAACUAAAUACUCUAGGGAUAACAGCGUUAUAAUUUUGAAUAGCACGAAUUGAUAAAAUUGAUUGCGACCUCGAUGUUGGAUUAGGAUUCUUAUUUAAUGAAGAAGUUAAAUUUAAGAAGUUUGUUCACUUUUAAAUUCCUACUUGAUCUGAGUUCAGACCGG
rnacentral:rRNA from 1 species